AAUGGCUCGAUAGAUCGAGUUGAGGUGUGAUUGAAGUUUCGAGGACGAAACUCUUUUUAAGGGGUGAAGAAUAUAGCAUACCGGAUUUUUAAUAAAAGUGAAUAUAAAUAAAAAUAGUGUGAGAUACUAUUUUUAUUGGAUUUAGAGAAGUAAAAUAUAAGUCGGGAUCGACUCGUGCGGAAAUCGGAGUGAAAAUAGAAGAUUGAGAAUUUUCUGUGAGAGACGGGGCUGAUAUUUUAGUAGAAAAUGUACAGUGUCAGAAAAUUUCAAAAAUCUGAAAAUAUGUUAGGAUUAUUUUUAUGAGGUUAGAUUUAAAGUUUCAUGUCGAUCCGACACCCGGAAGAUGAAAAAUAAAAUCUGACUGCUAUCUGUUAGAGAUUACAGUUCGGUUGAGCUUUCGGUGACCAAACAUGGUC
rnacentral:lncRNA from 1 species